rnacentral:rRNA from 1 species
UACGUAGGGGGCAAGCGUUGUCCGGAAUUAUUGGGCGUAAAGCGCGUGUAGGCGGCUCGGUAAGUCUGCUGUGAAAGCCCAGGGCUCAACCCUGGAACGCCGGUGGAUACUGUCGAGCUCGAGUCCGGAAGAGGCGAGUGGAAUUCCUGGUGUAGCGGUGAAAUGCGCAGAUAUCUGGAGGAACACCGGUGGCGAAGGCGGCAUCCUGGACCGGCAUUGACGCUGAGGCGCGAAAGCCAGGGGAGCAAACGGG